rnacentral:rRNA from 1 species
AUGAACGCUGGCGGCGUGCCUAAUACAUGCCAGUCGCGCGAACAGACGAGGAGCUUGCUCCUCUGACGUUAGCGGCGGACGGGUGAGUAACACGUGGAUAACCUACCUAUAAGACUGGGAUAACUUCGGGAAACCGGAGCUAAUACCGGAUAAUAUAUUGAACCGCAUGGUUCAAUAGUGAAAGACGGUUUUGCUGUCACUUAUAGAUGGAUCCGCGCCGCAUUAGCUAGUUGGUAAGGUAACGGCUUACCAAGGCAACGAUGCGUAGCCGACCUGAGAGGGUGAUCGGCCACACUGGAACUGAGACACGGUCCAGACUCCUACGGGAGGCAGCAGUAGGGAAUCUUCCACAAUGGGCGAAAGCUUGACGGAGCAACGCCGCGUGAGUGAUGAAGGUCUUCGGAUCGUAAAACUCUGUUAUUAGGGAAGAACAAAUGUGUAAGUAACUAUGCACGUCUUGACGGUACCUAAUCAGAAAGCCACGGCUAACUACGUG